UGCAGGGCAACAUCGACGCUGGACCAGAUGGACGAGCUGCAGUGCCAAACUGGGAGAGGAAUAGACGCUCCAGCAGCAGUGAUUAUGCGUGUGUAUGUGGAGAAGAUAACUGGGUCGAUUGAUUUGAUGUUAAUUUGUUUGCUUCACUCUGUUUAUUUAUGGCUACAAUGACGGCAGCGGCACACGAG